CUACGGGCGGCUGCAGUCGAGAAUCUUCCGCAAUGGACGAAAGUCUGACGGAGCGACGCCGCGUGCGGGAUGAAGGCCUUCGGGUUGUAAACCGCUGUCAGUGGGGAGGAAAUGCAUCAGGGUUCUCCCUGGUGUUUGACCGAUCCGCAGAGGAAGCGCAGGCUAAGUUCGUGCCAGCAGCCGCGGUACACGAACUGCGGGAACGUUAUUCGGAAUCACUGGGCUUAAAGAGUUCGUAGGCGGCCUUUCAAGUCGGGUGUGAAAUCCCUCGGCUCAACCGAGGAAUUGCGCCUGAUACUGUUGGGCUUGAGGGGGAUAGGGGUGAGCGGAACUGAUGGUGGAGCGGUGAAAUGCGUUGAUAUCAUCAGGAACACCGGUGGCGAAGGCGGCUCACUGGAUCUCUUCUGACGCUGAGGAACGAAAGCUAGGGGAGCGAACGGGAUUAGAUACCCGUGUAGUC
rnacentral:rRNA from 1 species